UAUGAGAUAUAAUCUUUUUACUUUUCUUAAAAAAGACUUUUAGUAUUACUAUGGUUAUAUAUUUAAGUUAUAUUUAAAAUCUUUGUGGUUAAAUAAAAAAAUUUUUACUAUAAAAUACGGAGUUGUAUCCUACUAUAUAAUUAAAAUUUAGGGKAGUUUUAAAAACCGAAAAUAAAUGGCAGUAAAAUAUGCAAAUUAAGGAAUUUUGAAAAAUAAUUUGAUAAUCCUCAAUUUUAUUUACUUUAAAAAAUUUUUUGUGCGGCUGUUUAAUAACCAUUUAAGAAUAUUAGUGUAAAUCAGGCUUUGCGUUAUAAAUAUUUAAAGGAAUUUUUGAAAUGUAGUUAAAAUUUUAUAUUAAUUAUAAAAAUUAUAAUACUUAAUAGUAAUAAAUAAUUAAAUAAAUUAUGCCCUAUUUUAGG
rnacentral:rRNA from 1 species